rnacentral:rRNA from 1 species
AACUUUCAGCAACGGAUCUCUUGGUUCUGGCAUCGAUGAAGAACGCAGCAAAAUGCGAUAAGUAAUGUGAAUUGCAGAAUUCAGUGAAUCAUCGAAUCUUUGAACGCACAUUGCGCCCGCCAGUAUUCUGGCGGGCAUGCCUGUUCGAGCGUCAUUU